rnacentral:rRNA from 1 species
UACGGGGGGGGCAAGCGUUGUUCGGAAUUACUGGGCGUAAAGGGCGCGUAGGCGGUUUGCUAAGUUGAAUGUGAAAACUCUGGGCUUAACCCAGAGCCUGCAUUCAAUACUGGCAGGCUAGAGUUCUGGAGGGGAUAGCGGAAUUCCUGGUGUAGCGGUGAAAUGCGUAGAUAUCGGGAGGAACACCAAUGGCGAAGGCAGCUCGCUGGCACGGUACUGGCGCUGAGACGCGAAAGCGUGGGGAGCAAACAGG